CAAGGUUUCCGUAGGUGAACCUGCGGAAGGAUCAUUACCGAAUCGUCAAACACGGGUUGUUGCUGGCCUCCAAACGGGGGCACGUGCACGCUCUGUUUACACAUCCACUCACACCUGUGCACCCUCUGUAGUCCUAUGGUUCGGAAGACCCCGUCUUCCUUCUGUAGCUCUACGUCUUUACACACACGCCGUAGCGAUGUCUCAUGGAAUGUUUUUAUGCGUUUAACGCGAUACAAUACAACUUUCAGCAACGGAUCUCUUGGCUCUCGCAUCGAUGAAGAACGCAGCGAAAUGCGAUAAGUAAUGUGAAUUGCAGAAUUCAGUGAAUCAUCGAAUCUUUGAACGCACCUUGCGCCCCUUGGUUAUUCCUUGGAGCAUGCCUGUUUGAGUAUCAUGAACACCUCAACUCUCAUGGUCUUCCAUGAUGAGCUUGGACUUUGGGGGUUUGCUGGCCCUGCGGCCGGCUCCUCUCAAAUGAAUCAGCUUGCCAGUGUUUGGUGGCAUCACGGGUGUGAUAACUAUCUACGCUCGCGGUCGUCUGCCAGGUAACCCUCAGCGAUGAGGGUUCAUUGGAGCUCAUAAACGUCUCUCCUCGGCGAGGACAA
rnacentral:sRNA from 1 species